UACGUAGGGGGCAAGCGUUGUUCGGAAUUACUGGGCGUAAAGCGUGCGCAGGCGGUUUUGUAAGCCAGAUGUGAAAUCCCCGGGCUCAACCUGGGAAUGGCAUUUGGGACUGCAAGGCUGGAGUUUGGCAGAGGAGACUGGAAUUCCUGGUGUAGCAGUGAAAUGCGUAGAUAUCAGGAGGAACACCGAUGGCGAAGGCAGGUCUCUGGGCUGAAACUGACGCUCAUGCACGAAAGCGUGGGGAGCAAACAGG
rnacentral:rRNA from 1 species